GUGAAUCAUCGAAUCUUUGAACGCAUAUUGCGCCCCUUGGUAUUCCGGGGGGCACACCUGUUCGAGCGCCAUUUCGACCCUCAAGCAUAGCUUGGUGUUGGGCACGGUCCUAGGGGACCUGCCCGUAACUCGUAGGCGGCCACCGCCCGCGCCCCCAGCGUAGCAAGCUCACGCGUUCGCUCGGGGACGGUACGUGCCUGGCAGCCCAAAACAAUUUUCAAGGUUUGGCCUCGGAUCAGGUGGGGAUACCCGCUGAACUUAAGCAUAUCAAUAAGCGGAGGA
rnacentral:misc_RNA from 1 species